rnacentral:rRNA from 1 species
GACAGAGGGUGCGAACGUUGUUCGGAAUUACUGGGCGUAAAGCGCAUGUAGGCGGCAGCGCAAGUCGGGCGUGAAAUCCCACGGCUCAACCGUGGAAGUGCACUCGAAACUGCGCAGCUAGAGUCCUGGAGAGGAAGGUGGAAUGGCUUGGUGUAGAGGUGAAAUUCGUAGAUAUCAAGCGGAACACCGGUGGCGAAGGCGGCCUUCUGGACAGUGACGUGACGCUGAGAUGCGAAAGC